UAGCGGACAAACCUCCCGGCAGGAACCAGUUAACAGGGACAGCAAGGAGCAGCACCAACACACAGCAGCUCUGGAGGAAGGCAGUCAUGUAUUUAAAAAGGAAAAACCACCACCAAGAAGCCCACAAAAAAGCCACACUAUUUAUUUUUCUGGGAGGUUAAAGUCAGCAGCUGGGAGUGUCUCUGGGAGGAGAGUGUAAGAACCACAGCAUCCCCAGCGUGUUUCCACUGGCUGGCUUUGGGAUCUGCAGCUCAACAGCUUUUGCAACACUGCCUCCUGUUCCUUUUGAAGCUUACCGUCACUACUGAGAUGCAGCCUUGCAAGACGCUAGGAGUACUGGCUCAGGAGUUUGGACGGUCCCAUAAAGUUAACUCAACCAAGCAGUUCUAGUCUCUCAAUAAUGCUUCCAUAUUGCUAUCAGGUACUUGCUGCUUUGUAUUAAUGUUACUUGCAUGGCAGUAGUGCUUCUUUCAGGUGGGGUCCCCUGCCAGAUGCACUGGGUGGCUCUGCAUUAGUUCUUUUUCCCAGGUCAUAGUUUAACACUGUGGGAUGCGAUUGUUGUACCAGGUGCAUUGUUUUCACCAUGUCCAGCUUUGCUGAACACAGCUGAAGCCCUGAUAUUUGGGUCAGGUUCUGUCUCCAGCCAUUAUCAUACUGACUUCAACUUGCUCUUGAUGAAACCUUUAGUCCCUGAUGCUACUGGGGCACCA